rnacentral:lncRNA from 1 species
CGGGCAACACACUUAAACCGCUAGGCGGUGGCUCGCUGGGCGUGGGCCUGUUUUCUGUUGCGCUCCUCACCUUUAAAUACCCCUAUUUUGAGUUCAGAGUUAUUCUUUUGACAGGGGAGAACGACCAGACCUAAUUUUGCUCUCUGGAGAGGAUCUCUUAGAUGCUUAGGCUCAUUUUCAUCUUUUCUAGGGUUUGCUCUUCCAUUCUUCUUCCA